CCGAAGUCCCCGAUCCCGCUCCGCGCCUACCUUUCGUCCAAUCCAACUCUCUUCCUCGCACCCUCACCUCGCACGCCCGCCGCCGCAUCUCCCUUCUUCGCGCCAGCCUCGCGGCCCCCACGCGACCGAGGCCGCGCCCCGGCCGCCGCAUCUCGCUCCACGCGCCUGCGCCGCCUCCAGCCUCGCGGCCCCCUAGCGCCCCGGCCACCGCAUCGCGCCCCCUCGCGCCCACACUGGAGCGCACCCCGUCGCUGCAGCCACGCCGGAUGACAGGUCAGAUUGUGCAGAAGUUUCCUGAGCAUAAUGAUUUAUGUCCAAACGGGAUAUACAUCACAAUCGGAAUCUUCAGGGAAGUGUCAACUUGUUUUCUAAAAGACACUAUUGGUUAUAACCAUUUCCUCUUGCAAGUGCAUCUUAAUUAGCUUUACUGAUGGGUCAUUGUACAUAAUCAUAUACCAUAUGUUGUUACUAAUGGCUAGAGAUUUAGUGUGCUGACUUCAGGGGGGUGUCGAGGUCUUAUGAAAAUUACAUGUGUUUAGAGUUACAGGGUACCAUUGCCAGGUGUCAAGAACCAGAAAUUGACAAGUCUGUUUCAAUGCUUGUUGGAAUUUUAGUUGGUUUCCCUUUGGUGUCCUGGCCUGGCAUCUGUUCUUAACUUUCCCUACAGAUUUUUCACUGAUUAUUAUAGAGUGCUAAUUAUGGUGCUAAAUAUUCUCUUGGGUAGUGUGUGUGCUUGUGAUUAUAAACUGUUGAUUGUCGCAUUACUCAGAACUAGCAGUUACAGCAAGAGCAACAGUCCAAGGUAUAUUAAUUUUUCUUUCUGAUUUAAAUUAAUGAUAGCACCAAAGUAUCAAAUGACUCUUAAUUUGAUUCCUGUACUAAGUUUGAUUGUUUCGUAUACAUGCCCAUGCGCCUAGCUUCUUCUGCGAGGCUGGUGCAGCAACAUAAUUCCUGUCUUCCACUUUGCCGCCUGCCCAAGGUGACAACACAUCCAAUAUUUUUCAGGUCCUGAUAUGUAUGUGAAGCAUCUUUAUUUUUUAUCGAAUCGUUGAUGUAUGUUUUCAGAGCAUAAUUUUCCACUGAAUGGAUUAUCAUUUGCUGAGACUAAUGAUUUAAACUUGCAUAAACAAGUAAAGAACUUUUAACCAUUACUAGAUGCUGACACUAUACAGGUCAUGUUGUUUAGUAAAACUAUCGUAACAGAUGCAGGUGGAGGGUCUUUAAGUAAGUAACCACCUAAUACCAUUUUUAUUGAGAUCCAUCUUUCGUCUAAGAAGUUCUGAAGAUGGUCAAAAGCAUGGUUAAAUAAAAUCAUCUGCUUCUGUUGACGUUUCCCUGUACUAUGCCCAAAGUUUGUACUGAGUGUUGCAUAUGUUUCUUUAAACGUUUAGUUCUAUGUCGUGCCAUAUCAUGCUUAUCAUUAGAGCACAACCUGAAUGUUUCAGUUGAACUAUAUAUCAACUUGUCUAAAGAAUGCUUACAUAAGGUAUAUCUCGAUAAUUAUACAGUUUUUUUCUUUCCAAACGACCUUGCGAUCGGAUUAGAUAAUUAUAUAGUAGGCGCUAAUUUCUGUUAUUUUGAUUUGAAUCAUUUCAGGGUGAUUUAGAGAAGCUCACCAACCAAAAUGUGCCUCAUUUCUCUUUUUUAAAGGUGUAUUUGUCUUUCUGUUUAAUGCAAAUAGCUACAUGAAGAAUGGAAUAUGAAUCUAAGUGAAAAUUGCAGUUGCUGAAGGGAACAUGAGCAUGCUAGGAGUUGACCUUUAAUUUUUGUUGCUAAGGUGCUUUGUUUCAGAUUGUAUUCUCACUCAAGUAUUAUUAUUAGGCAAACUAGCUCUAUUUCUUAUGGAUACUUAAUUCCUUACUUUGGUCACAAAAGUACUUAAUUCCUUAUUUAUUAAAUUCCAAGUUAGGGAGCC